rnacentral:rRNA from 1 species
UAUUUUAGAAUGUUAAUUUGGGGUGCCUGAGUAGUAUUAGUUAUGUUCUUGAAACUUAAAGAAUUUGGCGGUAUCUCAUUCCGUCCAGAGGAAUCUGUCCCGUUAUCGAUAGUCCGCGUUGGACCUUACUUGGAUUUAUUUGUUUGUAUACCGCCGUAUAUUGAUUAUCUUUGUAGAGUUUUAAUUUUCUGGUUUCUUUAUUAUGGUUUAUUUCAGGUCAAGGUGCAGCUUGUUUCCAAGUGGAAUGAUGGAUUACAUUGUUAUUUGUUUUUGGAUUGUUGGUUUUAAUAUUGAUAUGAAAUUGGAUUUGGUUGUAAUUUCUUGUAGAUUGUUGUUGUGAUAGUUGGUUCUGAGAUAUGUACACAUCGCCCGUCGCUCUCGUUUAU